rnacentral:tRNA from 516 species
GCGGGAAUAGCUCAGUUGGUAGAGCGCAACCUUGCCAAGGUUGAGGUCGCGAGUUCGAGUCUCGUUUCCCGCUCCA